GCCCAAAAUAAUUAAAAGCCCAAAUAAUAUUAGCCCAUAUUUAGUAUAAAAAUCUAACCCUAAUUCUAUUUCCUAUAACAAUUCACCCAUUCAGUCGCCGCUCUCAAGUCUCAACUGCUCAGUGUCUCCGUCGACUCUUAGUCUCCCUCUCCGACUCAAUUCAUCGUCGGCUCAUUCGUCGUUAAAUAUCUGUUUCUGUUCGCUCCAGUCUUCAUUCCUCGCCUCGUCGGACUUGUUUCAGGCUUCAAUCGGAUGUCUUCUUACAAAGAAUCAAAUGAGAAUCCGGCUGCUCAUGUUGAUCUGACUGAUGGAGAGGACGACCCGAAUCCAAUAAUUGAUGAAUCGGGUGAUACCGAUGUACCUGAUACAGCGACCGGAGGUGCUUGUUCAAAAAAGAGAAAAAAUUCUUCCGAUGUGCAUGUACAUUUUGUAGAUGUUAAUAAUUUGUUUUUGUUGAACGAAGCCUUAUUAUUCAAUCGAGCGAAAACGACCCGCUCGCUUUUUUUU